rnacentral:tRNA from 1 species
CCCUUGGUAGCUCAGUUGGAAGAGCGCAAGACUGUAAUUGUAAACACGACAUCUUGAGGCCAUCAGUUCGAUCCUGAUUCAAGGGA